rnacentral:rRNA from 1 species
AGUAACACGUAGGUAACCUGCCCAUGUGUCCGGGAUAACUGCUGGAAACGGUAGCUAAAACCGGAUAGGUAUACAGAGCGCAUGCUCAGUAUAUUAAAGCGCCCUUCAAGGCGUGAACAUGGAUGGACCUGCGGCGCAUUAGCUAGUUGGUAAGGUAACGGCCCACCAAGGCGAUGAUGCGUAGCCGGCCUGAGAGGGUAAACGGCCACAUUGGGACUGAGACACGGCCCAA